rnacentral:pre_miRNA from 7 species
CUUCAAGGUUCCUGGGUGUCACGCAGAUCUCGGUGGGACCUCCAAACGAAAGAACCUAGUUGGGAACCCCCCACUCGUAUCCUGAGUCAGUGUGCACCCAAAGAAUUACUAGAGACC